rnacentral:misc_RNA from 1 species
AAAAUAAAAAUAUACAAUAAUAUUUUGACAAGUAAACUAAAACUAACCCACAAUUAUAAACAUAUUCAGCUCCAUUUGGUUAGGUUAACCAUGGAUUUCAAAUGAAGGGGGGAAAAAGAGCUAAAAGUACCUAACCAUAACAGAAUAUACAGGUUCAGAUAAGCACCUUUUAGUUCGGUUUCAAGUUUGCAGUUCAGUUUUUCAAUUUUCUUUGCCCACCACUUAUCAUUAUUACCACAGUUAAACAAAAUCCAUGAAUUUUGCAAUAAAAUCAAUUACAAUACCUUCAAUAUGUCUGGACAUCACAAACACAUCAUCUACUUGCCCAAGCAUCAUUAUUCAAAAAAUGAAAAGGAAUGCAUCAAUCAAUAUUUAUUAGAUCCCAAAGAGAACAAUCAAAAAACUUCUAUGAAACAUAAUUCCAUUUUCCACGACAUACCUAAUAGGCACAUACAAACAAGG